rnacentral:misc_RNA from 1 species
ACGUGAGACUCUGAGCCAUUCAAAAAUGUUAAUUCAUUGUUAGGAGAGUUUAAGAUUUACCUUUUAAUAAUUUCUCUGUUAUACCUGCUUUUUAAGUGUGACUUACGGACUGCGUGAGGUUUGUCCUUGUGUCUUUUAUUUCAGUGUUAUUAAAACCGUUUUCUCACUAAUAAAAUGAAGCAUUUGUUUUGAGCGAUAUUACAGGCUAUUAUCAUUGCAGGUUCAGGGCAUGUCUUACAAAAGUGAAUCUGCUAACCGAAAUUCAAACUGUGAUAAGACAUUUAAUCUACGGAUUAAACUAGGUAAUAACUUUAGGAACAAUGAAUGUGUCAGUGGGAAAGGUCUUUCUGAAGAAUCCGCAUCUGAGGCUGAAAGUGAAGAAAACAGAAUAAACAAUUUAACUUUGCCUAUGGGACAACGUAAAACACAUCGAACAUUUCAAAGCAAAGCCAACAAAAGUGCAACAGAUAUUGAUGAGGAUGCUUUAUUAGUUUCGCGUGAGAAAUCUUUAAUAAAGGACCUAAACUAUUGCAGAGUAUGCAAGUACAAACUGUCAGGUCGGAAACAUGACAAUCAUUUCCAAACACAUCGUCACAAGAUUCUUGAGCAUUUUUACGAUCUUUGUGUCGAUAAAGGGAUCGAUUGGGGUGACAUGAAUGCGAGAUCUUUCACUUGUGCCCUCCAUCCUGAUAGAUUUAUAUCCAGUGUUGAAAUUAUGGUGAAACAUUGCAACCGACAGCACCCAGAUAUUGUAAAAUCUUUAAAUUUACCAAUAUCCAAUAUCUGGAAGACACGCCUUGAGAAUCAGUUAGGAAAAGACGUUGUGGAAACAGAAUUGACUAAUUAUACAGAAGAAAAUACAAACGUCAGAGCCGAAGAACCAGAAAAAUUGAAUCUAAAAUUGAAACCUACUAAUUCACCGCACCAGAUAUUUGCUUGUUCCAAGUGUUCUUACCGAAAUUUUCAAAGAAUAUCUGUGCUAAAGCACAUAAUACAAAAACACAAUUUAACGGCAGGAAUGGCUGGAAAGUUUAUUAUAAAAACAUCUAAAAUUAUAAAAUCCAUGCCCAAUAAGAAUAGUGGCCCAAAGAGGCAAUCAGAAGCUCGAACUUUAAAUACAGAUGAACUUGAUAAAUAUAGAGUAAAGGGAAAUAUGAGCGUUAAAUGCAUGCAAGUAAUGGACGCAACUCUUCAACAUUAUAGCCAAUUCCAACCGAAAAAUUUACAAUACGUUUCAAACAGGUUAAGAGAGGAAUUUAUUCGAUUCGCUAAAAAUCAGAAAAAACACAAUGAAAAUGGAUUUUAUUACUGUCCAACUUGCAAGCAUAAAUAUCCAACGGUGAAAUCAGGAAAACAACAUAUCUUACGCAUAGCACAUUCAAAAAAUUUCUUCUCAGAAGAAUAUAGAACCAGAUAUAAAAUUUUGGAAGCAUAUGCUAAUUAUAACGAAAACAAUGAGUUUAUAGGUAUGGUUGGAAGUGAUGUGUCCAAUAAAUCCCGCUCUAGUAAAGAGCGUAGCGUGAGCAGCGUUGAGGAUGCAAUUGAAGGAGAAAAAAGAAAAGUAGUAAAAGAAAAAAUUGUAAAGCCGAAGGCAAUAAAGCGGGUGCUCCCGACGAAUUCUACGCCAAUUCCUACUAAAGUUGCUACUAAAGAUUGGGAUAGAAUUAAUACUCCAGAUUCCUUAAAUUUAGGUUUGUAUAACUUGUCUUUUUCUGAAAGUUUUUAAAUUUCCUUUGUACGAAAAAUUAGUUGAAUUAACAAUUUCUAAUAGCUGCACUACCUCUCGAACGAAAAUGGAUGGAAGCGAUCAGCGAUAUUUCAAACCUUGCAUUAGCCGAUAUUGGCCUAGUUCCACCUGACGACCGUAAUCGUCUCUUCCGUUGCUUAGAUUAUAUCCAUUCAUUAUCAAUGAAGUAUAAGUCUAAACCCCAGCAAAGCGGAAUUUUGAGUUUACUACAACCAUCUACGAUAAGCUAUCCUUCAAUGCAAACUGUGUUUCCCUCAUGCGAAAGUGAAACCUUUAAAAGGCCAGGCAGUCCGAGCCGAGUAAAAGUUACGGAUCGGGGUCUUAGAAGGUUACGGAGAAGUCCAUCGGCUACUUCCUCUCCUAUGUUAGAUGAUGAAUCUAAUUUUACUUCAAAUGGCCUGCUCAACAACUUUGAUACCACAUUUGAUUUAGAAGAAGAACUACUUCGUAUUGAUAACUCUCCGUCAGCAAGAUUAGUUCCUGGCUCUAAUGGCAUACCAGUCGCACAGAAAAUAAAAACUGAGGGUGAUUGGUAACUUUUUCCGUAAUAUAUUGAAAUAUUAUGGGAAAUGUAUCUAUCUAUUAUGCACUUUCGAAUGUUUAGUAAAGUUUAUAUAACACCUUACUUAUUUCUUUGGCAUGACGAUCGAUUAUUUCAGAAAUUUUUAACGCGAUUCUUUCAUGUUCUGUUAUCCUCUUUUCAGUAUAUAUAUGUAAGUUUACUUUAUAUAUAUAUAUCAUACAUAUGUACACUCGGAUAAAUUGUGUUAUAAGAGUGAUUUAGUUUGUACAAUAUAUUUUAUACAAUGUUUGCUACUGGCUGCUGACCUAGGUUUCUCAAAAACGGGCAGUUAUCAUUUAAAGUCAGGC